rnacentral:rRNA from 1 species
CAUGUAGGCGGUUUUUUAAGUCCGGAGUGAAAAUGCGGGGCUCAACCCCGUAUGGCUCUGGAUACUGGAAGACUUGAGUGCAGGAGAGGAAAGGGGAAUUCCCAGUGUAGCGGUGAAAUGCGUAGAUAUUGGGAGGAACACCAGUGGCGAAGGCGCCUUUCUGGACUGUGUCUGACGCUGAGAUGCGAAAGCCAGGGUAGCGAACG